CCUACGGGAUGCAGCAGUGGGGGAUAUUGCACAAUGGGGGAAACCCUGAUGCAGCGAUGCCGCGUGAAUGAAGACGGCCUUCGGGUUGUAAAGUUCUGUCGCAGGGGACGAAAAUGACGGUACCCUGCAAGAAAGCUCCGGCUAACUACGUGCCAGCAGCCGCGGUAAGACGGAGGGAGCAAGCGUUGUCCGGAAGUACUGGGUGUAAAGGGAGCGUAGGCGGGGGGAUAAGUUGAAUGGAAAAGCUAUGGGCUCAAGCCAUAGCUGCGGUCAAAACUGUUCUUCUUGAGUGAAGUAGAGGCAGGCGGAAUUCGUAGUGUAGCGGUGAAAUGCGUAGAUAGUAGGAGGAACAACGGUGGCGAAGGCGGCCUGCUG
rnacentral:rRNA from 1 species